UACGUAGGUGACAAGCGUUGUCCGGAUUUACUGGGCGUAAAGAGCGCGCAGGCGGUCGUUCAAGUCGAGUGUGAAAGCCCCCGGCUCAACUGGGGAGGGUCACUCGAUACUGAUCGACUCGAAGGCAGGAGAGGGAAGUGGAAUUCCCGGUGUAGUGGUGAAAUGCGUAGAUAUCGGGAGGAACACCAGUGGCGAAGGCGGCGACCUGGACGGACACUGACGCUGAGACGCGAAAGCGUGGGGAGCAAACAGG
rnacentral:rRNA from 1 species